GUCAAUACUCCUUUAUUGCCAGAAUUCUGAGAGCAGCACCUUUUCUCUUGCAUUGUCUUUCUCCCAUCUCAUGUCAUUCUGUUGGGAAUGCUAAUCACAGUCACACAUCCUCUGCACCUCCAAGCAUCAGUGUGACCAUGUGAGCACAACCCCACCUCUGGAAUCAGACAAGCAUUUCACAGGACUAAAGUGAGGAUAAUCAAGUCACAUGCUCAGAACUGGCCAGAGUUUUUCAGUUUCAAGUGACAAAAUCUCCAACCCCCAAAAUAGAACACAUAGGCCUAUGUAAACUGAAAACCAAGAGUAGAUUUACUUCCAAAAGAGUCAAAUCAAGGACUUUGAGGAUGUGGUCAGGUAUGGGUCUCUCUCCAUGGACUCCUUGUCCUUUCCUUCACCCCCAUAUCCAGGUCUCUGCAUUUGUCCGCGUUCUUCACUGUCAUGUGGCUCCUCCCGAUGUGAUAGCAAAGAUGCCCGUGGACAAACCAGGCUUGGGUCCAUCAUGUUGGCAAUCUGGAGGAAGCCGAGCACUUUUUCUCCAACUGACUCAGUCCCAGGACUGGCUCUCAUUUGCCCAGCUUGUGCAGUGAUGAACCUAUACAAAUUGUGUAAAGCAAAUGUUUUCAGGCAUUGGAUGUCAAGCAGCACAGGACUAUCAACCUGAAGGAAAGAGAAUCACACAAGAUGAGCCUCAUAUUUAUCCUGGCUUUCCGCUUCGGAGCACUCUCUCAACUUCAACACAGAGAAGUGAAACCCAAGUGAAAGAGUAUUGCUAAACCAAGGAGGCAGACCUCAUGUUUGUUCAAGAGUACCCAAGAGAUAGGAUCUGUAAGAGGCACACAGGACCACAUUUGUUCUACCACGCUAUGCUGAAUAUGAGGCAAAAGUUAACACCUGGAAAUUUUGCUAUCCUGAAAUGAGGCAGUGCAUUGUGGAGAAAAAAAGAAUGGACUCUUCUAUUAAAUGAACGAUAAGAAAGAAGACUGCAAGUUGAGAAAUCACAUCUCCAAGACUCAAAGGGUCCUGUCAUGUGGAAAUGCAGAUCUGCUCUCCCAGCAAGCCUGGUUGGGCAUCCUCAAUCUUCUGCUUCCAAGCUGUGUGACCUCGGGUAAGUCACUUGGCAUCUCUGAGCCUCAGUCCCCAAUUGUGUGAUGGGAACAUAACAGUGCCUAAGUGAGGGAGUGAGUCUGGGGACUGAAG
rnacentral:lncRNA from 10 species